rnacentral:rRNA from 1 species
AUUGAACGCUGGCGGCAUGCCUUACACAUGCAAGUCGAACGGUAACGGGCCUUCGGGUGCCGACGAGUGGCGAACGGGUGAGUAAUGUAUCGGAACGUACCUUUCAGUGGGGGAUAACGUAGCGAAAGUUACGCUAAUACCGCAUAUUCUGUGAGCAGGAAAGCAGGGGAUCGCAAGACCUUGCGCUGAUUGAGCGGCCGAUAUCAGAUUAGCUAGUUGGUGAGGUAAAGGCUCACCAAGGCGACGAUCUGUAGCGGGUCUGAGAGGAUGAUCCGCCACACUGGAACUGAGACACGGUCCAGACUCCUACGGGAGGCAGCAGUGGGGAAUUUUGGACAAUGGGGGCAACCCUGAUCCAGCCAUGCCGCGUGAGUGAAGAAGGCCUUCGGGUUGUAAAGCUACUUUCGGCCGGGAAGAAAUCGUAUGGGUUAAUACCCUGUGCGGAGUGACGGUACCGGACAUAAGAAGACACCGGCUAACUACGUGCCAGCAGCCGCGGU